AGUUCCGGCCUCUCUGCCCUGCCCUUCAAGUCACCUCCAGGCACAGGCUGACACAAGGUAAGGAGACUUACGGUGCUGAUGGGCAAAGAAGCCUUCAAAGAUGACAAAGUUGUUCACCUGGAAGAUGAAGCAAACAGAGCAUACUGUCUCUUCUCAUCACACAGUGGGUAUAGAACCUGGACCACAAAGCCCAUGAGGCAUGAACAUGGUGCAUGUAUAUACAUGUGAGCAAAGCAUUCAAACACACGAAAAUGAGAGGCGCCCCGUACCUUGGCAGAAGCCUUGCCCAGCUCAUCUACAAUAGUCAUGAUUUGCUGCUGCAGAUCCACACUACAGAGAGAGGGGCCCGGUCAGACACUCGCUAGGUUACAGCAUCGUGUAAGUCAUUCCUGGCAGCCUGCUUGGCUCCCACCCAGGCUCCUCCACAGGGUCUCUGACUUUGCUUGGAACUCUUCCUCACCUCCCACCUCACCUCACCCCUCCAGAUCCCAAGCUUUGGUUUCACAGCUCCCGUGUUAAGGUUACUGUGACGCGGUAGGAAGGGCGGGUCAACUAUAGCCUCUUGUUGAGGCCACAUUAGGCCAGAUGGUGAAAGGUUACAGAUGUAGGUCUAUUAACCCGGCUAGAUCCAGGGUCAAAGGUCACCAAAACACAAGUAAGACCGCAGGAGAAAUGGCCAGUAGUCAGUGAGAAGGGGGCGUGGUUCCUGGAUCAGGUUUGGAGAGGAACCGGGACAGAAGGGCCAUGGGUCGGGUUUGAAAUGUCACCGGGCCGGCGUUGUGGUUCCGGGUCGGCGGGCCGGAGGCCGCAGGUGCUGGUCCAGCACGGUGAUCCGCUCCGGGAACAGCGCAUCCACAUCGAACGGGAACUCCAUGGCCCAUUGUGCGGGACCAGACACGCCCCACACAACGUCACUUCCGCUAAGAGGGCCGGUCUGUGCCCCUGAGAUGCCAGGGCAACCAAGUAUCCUGCCCUCCCAGUGAACAGCUGAGGGAACCUUCAGAAGAACCAGUCUCACACCCCUUGGAGUUGCGGGUAGACCACACUCCCACCCCACCUCAUAGACUUCACACCCACGUUUUGAACAGUCAGCCCAAAGGGAGUCAAGAACGGGUGAAGAGACACAGCUUUAUUGUAUAAAAGCUGAGCCAGGAGGUUUAAAUCAGGGACACACCAUCAAGGGCAUACACAAGAGUCUCCAGUUUAUAUGUAAGUCCUCACCAGUUACCCAUAAACAUCUAGUCCCCCUCAACGUCAAAUGUGCUUUGUUCUCUUCAUGCCAGCCAGUUCCCUAUAGGGUCUGCCACUGUCACAAAACAGAACCCUUUGCAGGACACAGGAUACCACGUAGCCCUAGACAGUACUCCCUUGGUCUGACUUCCCCAGGUCACAAGUUCUAAGCACUCUGGGAGCCUGGCUGCUCAAUGGAGGAUUCUGCUGGUGGUGUAGUGGGCAUCUCUGGCAUCGACUCAGGUGGCGGGCCACUUUCUUCUAGGAGAUUUCCUUGAUAGAGUCGGCGAAGGCGAGACAGCUCUCUCUCUGGUGGCUGUUGCCAGCUGUACCAUGGGUACCAAGGUUCACCUGACAACAGUGUGGGGGCUGGUGGAGUCACACUGACAGCUCCAUGCACAGUACCAAAGUCAGCAUCCCGGGGCUCAACCUGGGGGACGUAGUAACUGAGAAGACCUACGGGGUUAAAGGAAAUAAUGGUGGAUGAGGAAGGGCAGGUCAGACUCAAGACAAGAAAAAGGCACUACAAGUCGAGGGACCAGUCAUAACCACCAAGCACAUUCCAGCAGCGCAUACACAGCACACCCUGCCAAGGAGACAGAGAACAGGCAGGGCACUGCAUGGGCUCUCCCUCCUCACUCAUCCGUGCAAAGGUGCUGUAUAAGCCAGGUCAGAACCAAGAAACACAAGACUGUCAAGAUUCAGGAGACAGAGUAGUCUGAAGAAGGAAUGUUCCUUCCUUGUGUUUCCUGAAAGAUCAUCUCAAUAUGUACUCUUAGUAGCCUGGAACCUACAGCUGUUACUUCCGAGUCCAGCAACUCACCCAACGUGGAAAAACUAGGAGUCUGCUGAGUACUUUCUCAUAGACAUGGGAGCACGUAAGCACCUCAGAAACCCUUGCCCCUUGCUCUCACUUACCACACUCCCUGGCUUUCUGGAUGGCCUGGGUCAGCUUCUUGUGCUGCUUCAUACAGACCCCUACGGAGAGAAACGUCAACCUGGACAGCGUCCCACACAGCAGCAAGUCUUCUACACAGAGACAGCUGACCAUUUAAUGCCCCAGGGCCCUGACCUGUAUCUGCCUGGAUGUCCAGCCACUACAGAGAUGUCAUGGAAUGACAGAGCCUACAGAUGGGCCAGAAGAUGACUCAAUGACAAAUGUGGUUAAGGCUGACUUGGAAAAUCCACAGAAAAAGAUCUUAUAAGAAGUGAUUUCAAAUUAGGGAAUGUGACAGAGUAGCAAUUAUUCCCAGCUCCACUCUGUAGGCUGACAACAAAAAAACUCUGACAAAAGGGACAUAUCGCCGGGCAUGGUGGCACACGCCUUUAAUCCCAGCACUCAGGAGGCAGAGGCAGGCGGAUUUCUGAGUUCGAGGCCAGCCUGGUCUACAGAGUGAGUUCCAGGACAGCCAGGGCUGUACAGAGAAACCCUGUCACACACACAUACACACAAAUUUAUAGACUGAUAGGUGGAAAACUUUACAAGGAAGCAAGCUGUUCACCUUUUAAAAAAAAAAAAAAAAGGUUGAGCCCGAGUCUAUGUAGCCCUGGCUGUCUUGGAACUCACUAUGUAGACCAGGCUGACCCCAAACUCACAGUUUAAGGCACGCUUUACCUUUUAAAGUACAUUUAGACAGCCCUCACUCCUACAGGGAGGCUCUAAAACUUUAGUCUUUUGUCUACAUUUAACUGUUUUAUCGUAAUGAUGGUUCUCAUU
ensembl:antisense Gm16279 predicted gene 16279